UCCGAGUUGACCCCGGCAGUCUCCUACGAGUCCCCGGCAUAACCCGCUGGCAACAUAGGACAAGGGUUGCGCUCGUUGCGGGACUUAACCCAACAUCUCACGACACGAGCUGACGACAGCCAUGCAGCACCUGUGCAUAGGCUCCGAAGAGAGGACAACUUUCGUUGCCUGUCCUGUGCAUGUCAAGCCCAGGUAAGGUUCUUCGCGUCGCGUCGAAUUAAACCACAUGCUCCGCUGCUUGUGCGGGCCCCCGUCAAUUCCUUUGAGUUUCAGCCUUGCGGCCGUACUCCCCAGGCGGGGCACUUACUGCGUUAGCGACGGCACUCAGAGGGUCGCUCCCCCAAGCACCUAGUGCCCAUCGUUUACGGCGUGGACUAC
rnacentral:misc_RNA from 1 species